UACGUAGGGUGCAAGCGUUGUCCGGAAUUAUUGGGCGUAAAGAGCUCGUAGGCGGUCUGUCACGUCUGCUGUGAAAACUCGGGGCUUAACUCCGGGCCUGCAGUGGGUACGGGCAGACUAGAGUGCGGUAGGGGAGACUGGAAUUCCUGGUGUAGCGGUGAAAUGCGCAGAUAUCAGGAGGAACACCAAUGGCGAAGGCAGCUCGCUGGGACGGUACUGACGCUGAGGCGCGAAAGCGUGGGGAGCAAACAGG
rnacentral:rRNA from 1 species